rnacentral:rRNA from 1 species
UAGGCGAACUGCGAACGGCUCAUUACAACAGAUAUAAUUUACUUGGUUCUCAUUUCUUAAACGGAUAACUGCGGCUAAUUCUGGAGCCAAUACGUGCACAAAAGCCGGACCUCCGUCCGGUGCACUUAUCGGAGCAAAACCAUCCCUUCGGGUUUUAUGCUAACUCUGGAUAACACUGCUUAUCGUAUGCCUUCGAGGCGACGAAGACACAUUCAAGUAUCUGCCCUAUCAACUAUCGUUGGUAGUGUAUUGGACUACCAUGGUGGUGACGGGUAACGGAGAAUCAGGGUUCGACUCCGGAGAGGGAGCCUUAAAGACGGCUACCAUGUCUAAGGAUAGCAGCAGGCGCGAAAAUUACCCACUGAUCACUUUGAUCGAGGUAGUGACGAGAAAUAACAAAGCCGUUCUCUUUGAGGUCGGCUAUUGGAAUGGGUACAACCUAGACAAUUUAACGAGUAUCAACGAGAGGGCAAGUCUGGUGCCAGCAGCCGCGGUAAUUCCAGCUCUCGUAAUGUAUAGAAUUAUUGUUGCGAUUAAAAAGUUCGUAGUUGGAUUGUCUCGCCGCCGCGGGUCCAUCCUAACGGGUGCGCACUCGUGGCGGCAUUUGCGUCCGGCGGCCUAUUCCCGUAAGGGGUCGGUCGUGGGGCGCGGAUUACUUUGAACGGCUUAAGUGCUCAAGGCGAGUCUUCGGACUGAAUACCGGUGCAUGGAAUAAUGGAACAGGGCUUCGGCCGAGUUUUGUUGGUUUUGUCGGCUCUAGCAAUGGUUAACAGGAACAGCCGGGGGCAUCCGUAUCGCUGCGCGAGAGGUGAAAUUCGUGGACCGCAGCGAGACGCACUAAAGCGAAGGCAUUUGCCAAGAGUGUUUUCAUUAAUCAAGAACGAAAGUCAGAGGUUCGAAGGCGAUUAGAUACCGCCCUAGUUCUGACCGUAAACGAUGCCAACUAUCAACUAGCGAGUGGACUAAAAUUCAUUCRCUAGGGGAUCGACGGAAACGAAAGUUUUUCGGUUCCGGGGGAAGUAUGGUUGCAAAGCUGAAACUUAAAGGAAUUGACGGAAGGGCACCACCAGGAGUGGAGCUUGCGGCUUAAUUUGACUCAACACGGGAAAUCUCACCCGGCCAGUACAUCGUAAGGAUUGACAGAUUGAAAGCUCUUUCAUGAUUCGGUGAAUGGUGGUGCAUGGCCGUUCUUAGUUCGUGGCGUGAGUCGUCUGCUUAAUUGCGAUAACGAGCGAGACUCCGACCUCUAACUAGUUGGCGAAUUAUCCUUGGAUUGUCCGCUCAACUUCUUAAAGGGAUUGAGCGCUUGAAGCGCUAAGAGAUGGAGCAAUAACAGGUCUGUGAUGCCCUUAGAUGUUCGGGGCCGCACGCGUGCUACAAUAGCGGAAACAACGAGUCUGUCCUCGCCCGAUAGGGCUUGGCAAAGCUGGUGAGAUUUCGUUAUGGCUGGAAUUGAGUGUUGAAACUUUCUCUCAUGAACGAGGAAUUCCAAGUAAAUGCGAGUCAUCAACUUGCAUUGAUUACGUCC